AUUGAACGCUGGCGGAAUGCUUUACACAUGCAAGUCGAACGGCAGCACGGGGGCAACCCUGGUGGCGAGUGGCGAACGGGUGAGUAAUACAUCGGAACGUGCCCAGUCGUGGGGGAUAACGUAGCGAAAGUUACGCUAAUACCGCAUACGAUCUACGGAUGAAGGCGGGGGACCGUAAGGCCUCGCGCGAUUGGAGCGGUCGAUGUCAGAUUAGGUAGUUGGUGAGGUAAAGGCUCACCAAGCCGACGAUCUGUAGCUGGUCUGAGAGGACGACCAGCCACACUGGGACUGAGACACGGCCCAGACUCCUACGGGAGGCAGCAGUGGGGAAUUUUGGACAAUGGGCGCAAGCCUGAUCCAGCCAUUCCGCGUGCAGGACGAAGGCCUUCGGGUUGUAAACUGCUUUUGUACGGAACGAAAAGGCUCUGGUUAAUACCUGGGGCUCAUGACGGUACCGUAAGAAUAAGCACCGGCUAACUACGUGCCAGCAGCCGCGGUAA
rnacentral:rRNA from 1 species